rnacentral:lncRNA from 1 species
GGGGCAGCAACCCAACAACCGAUUGACUGAUUCAUCUGAAAAUUUCAGGGCAUAUAGAUCUUGACCUGAUAAACAUUUUUAUCCCGUCAGAUUUCCUCAAAAUGCUUUGGUUUUUGAGUUAUAAGCCAAAAACUGCAUUUUACCCCUUUGUUCUAUUUUUAGCCGUGGCGGCCAUCUUGGUUGGUUGACCACGUCACGCCACACAUUUUUUAAACUAGAUACCCCAAAGAUGAUUGUGGCCAAGUUUGGAUUAAUUUGGCCCAGUAGUUUCAGGGAAGAUUUUUGUAAAAGAUUACUUUAAUUAACGAAAAAUGGUUAAAAAUUGACUAUAAAGGGCAAUAACUCCUAAACGGGUCAACUGACCAUUUUGGUCAUGUUGACUUAUUUGUAGAUCUUACUUUGCUGAACAUUAUUGCUGUUUACAGUUUAUCUCUAUCUAUAAUAAUAUUCAAGAUAAUAACCAAAAACAGCAAAAUUUCCUCAAAAUUACCAAUUCAGGGGCAGCAACCCAACAACCGAUUGACCGAUUCAUCUGAAAAUUUCAGGGCAGAUAGAUCUUGACCUGAUAAACAUUUUUACCCCCAUGUCAGAUUUGCUCUAAAUGCUUUGGUUUUUGAGUUAUAAGCCAAAAACUGCAUUUUACCCCUAUGUUCUAUUUUUAGCCAUGGCGGCCAUCUUGGUUGGUUGACCGGGUCACGCCACACAUUUUUUAAACUAGAUACCCCAAUGAUGAUUGUGGCCAAGUUUGGUUUGAUUUGGCCCAGUAGUUUCAGAGGAGAAGAUUUUUGUAAAAGUUAACGACGACGGACGACGACGACGACGACGGACGACGGACGACGGACGACGACGGACGACGGACGCCAAGUGAUGAGAAAAGCUCACUUGGCCCUUCGGGCCAGGUGAGCUAAAAAUAUGU